UUUCCGUAGGUGAACCUGCGGAAGGAUCAUUAAAGAACUAAAAACACACUGAUUUGGCACAAACACCCAAAACAUUAAUUUUUUUCAACUUACUAAAGUAAUAAAAACUUUCAACAACGGAUCUCUUGGUUCUCGCAUCGAUGAAGAACGCAGCGAAUUGCGAUACGUAAUAUGACUUGCAGACGUGAAUCAUUGAAUUUUUGAACGCACAUUGCACUGAAUGGUAUUCCAUUCAGUAUACCAUGUUGAGCAUAGUUAUUCUCCUACUUCGUAGGGCCUUUCUUCCAAAAUCUAAUCAACUACGUUAUUAGAAAAUCUCCCUUCUCAGCAUGGCAGGACUACCCGCUGAACUUAA
rnacentral:misc_RNA from 1 species